ensembl:lncRNA
UUGAGAUAUACAGAUAAACGUUCCAGGUAUUGUUUUUAAUUGCUUUUACACCCCAUUUCCAAUUAUUAGUAGCCAAAAGUCACUUCCAUGCGCGAGGUGGUUUAACCACUGCUAAAAGCCACAGAUAAGGAAACUGCCUGUGAAUUGUGGCUGAUUCAGCAAGCACCUGAAGGGAAGGCAGACGCAGGCAGGAGCGGCGCCGGAGGUUACCUGGCUGCCUCGGUCCUUCAGGAGAAGUCACGACGAGGUCUCCCGACUGCCCCAGAAGACCCGUUCCCCCACCACAUAGCACCUGCUUCUUCAGGUCACUGCUGAGAAGCCCCAUUUUAAAGCCUGCAGAGUCGUUGACCUUCCUUAUCUCCCUGGACUUUUGCUCUCCUUGUCAUUUAUAUUCCUCACGCCCUGGUUUAACCGUCCUUCUCCCUCCCAGCCCCACGGGCUGUGCUGGUGCCAGAUGCUCUGCGGGCAGCCCGCAGCUCCCCGCCUGCCCCGGCGCUCCUCAAGCUCCCUGGCGGGCUUCACUUCUCAUGGCACCAUCCUGCUGCCGUGUUAUCACCUGCUGUUUGGUGGGCUUCCCUUCCCUAGGGAGGGGAUGGCAGCGCUAAGAGCCUGCUAAUCUCCUCAAUCUGCAAAAAGGGGGGUUGUUAAAGCGGGGUUCCCAAGUCCCCAGGCUCCAUUUACAUUUACACUCACCAAGGGCAUUUCACCCUUCUCAUCAGCAAUAUCUGGAGAGAACACACUCUCGAGAGCUGAGCAGGAAGAGGGGAAAAUAUUGAUGCAGGACAGCACCAGGUUCUUCCACGGUGCCUGCUCAGGGCUUCCAUGCAUUCACAACACAGAGCCCUCUGCGCUCAGACUUGUUAACCUACUGCAAUGGCUGUCUAGUGUUCGGGUGUCUUAUUUGGUUGGGGUGCCUUUAAACGAGACCUGUGGUUUCUCGGAGAAAAAACACACUAUUUUUCAUUUUCACCUGGUUCUUCGGUGUCCCCCUCUGCCACAGCACGUACAACCUCAGAGACAAAACUUAACACCAACAGCCCCGAUCAGAGAGAGGGGAAAAAAAAAAAAGUCUGGGAAGAAACAGGAGUUCGUUAGAGACAAUUUGGUCACGCAGAACUUUUUCAGGGAACAGAGAGACAACUGGGGUGGGGGAUUUUGUGCAGAAGGGUGCCCAUCCCCACCCCACUGCUGUUGAGUUUAAACCUCAGCCGUUUCCCUGCUUAAAACCCAUCCUAAGGCUAAACACCGCGGGUUUCCCCCUGUCCUUGCCUGGACCAGGCUGGCAUGAUGUUCCUUUUGAGCCCCGAAAUCCUGCUCCCAGCUGAACCCCCUUUCGCAUGCUCUCUCCCACCCCGAUGCAGCUCAGGAAAGGAAAUUCAGGGCUGGAUGUAGGCACAAGUGGGGAUGGGAUGGGGACGGGGAUGGGGUUGGGAUCGGGAUGGGAUGGGGAUAGGGAUAAGGACAAGGAUGGGAUGGGAAUGGGGAUAAUGGGGAUAAGGAUGGAGAUGGGAUGGGAAUGGGGAUAAAGAAGAUGGGAAUGGGGAUAAAGAGGAUGGGGAGGGGGACGGGGAUAAGGGUGAGGAUGGGAUGGAAAUGGGGAUAAGGACGGAAAUGGGGAUAGAGAUGGGAUGGGAAUAAGGAUGAGAGUGAGGAUGAAGAUGGGAUGGGAUGCAGAUAGGGACGGGGAUGGGGAUGAGGAUGAGGACAGGGACAGCUCUCCCAGGGUGACUCCCGCACUUGUUCCAUCCCCUGGGGAGCGCAGGGCUCUCAGGAAGCAAUCACAGCGCCCUGUGGGAUGGGGGUGUGUGGGGCUGGGGCAGCCCCGUCCCAGCUUUCCGCCCAUCGGGGCUGGCCUGGGAGGGAAAAUGAGUUUAAAACCGGGAAAAAAAAAAAAAAAAGGGAUUGACCCAGGACACACAUCCCCUAAAAUGAUUUUGUGGCGUCCCCAGGACAGGACAGCACUGCGCUGAUGGCUUUGGUGCAGCUUCUGCCCCCCUGGGAUUCUCUGUUGUCUACUAUAGGGUUGAGCUCGCCCUGCAGCCUGCCCUGGGGAGCUUGGUGAAAGCCUCCCUCUCCACACCCCCUCCCAAAACGCUGUCUGCAGUCCGUCCACGUGGGUGUCUGUCUGCGUGGUGCACGUCCGCACCCAGCACCUUCCCAGGGCAUGCAGCAAGCGGGUCCCCAGCUCAUCUGGG